rfam:Ictidomys tridecemlineatus contig070542, whole genome shotgun sequence.
GGGGCUAUAGCUCAGUUGGUAGAGUGCUUGCCUUGCAUGCACAAGGCCCUGGGCUAGAUCCCCAGCACCCCCU